rnacentral:rRNA from 1 species
AUUGAACGCUGGCGGCAGGCCUAACACAUGCAAGUCGAACGGUAGCACAGAGAGCUUGCUCUCGGGUGACGAGUGGCGGACGGGUGAGUAACGUCUGGGAAACUGCCCGAUGGAGGGGGAUAACUACUGGAAACGGUAGCUAAUACCGCAUAACGUCGCAAGACCAAAGUGGGGGACCUUCGGGCCUCACACCAUCGGAUGUGCCCAGAUGAGAUUAGCUAGUAGGUGGGGUAAUGGCUCACCUAGGCGACGAUCCCUAGCUGGUCUGAGAGGAUGACCAGCCACACUGGAACUGAGACACGGUCCAGACUCCUACGGGAGGCAGCAGUGGGGAAUAUUGCACAAUGGGCGCAAGCCUGAUGCAGCCAUGCCGCGUGUAUGAAGAAGGCCUUCGGGUUGUAAAGUACUUUCAGCGGGGAGGAAGGCGGUGAAGUUAAUAGCUUCACCGAUUGACGUUACCCGCAGAAGAAGCACCGGCUAACUCCGUGCCAGCCGCCGCUGUAA